GGGGAUUAAAUGCAAGUAAAUAAGCCAAAAACAAAGUCAGCACAUUGUAAGCACUCAAGGAAUAGUAGCUGCUUUUCACAGUUCUCUCCUGUUUUCUGUCUCCAUGUUCCUCCUCUGUUUCGCUUCCUUUCUCCUUCCUUUCCCUUUACAUGUCUCCCCAGCCUCAGCCUUAUGCUUGUCAGUGACAUCUAGGAAGACCCACAGUCCCUGCACAGGAAGCCCCUCUGCUUAUAGGCCCCACUGGCUCUCAUUCAAGACUCUGUCAGCUUUGUUACCACAGUAUGUCUUUCGUCAACUUGUAAACACCACCCAUGUAUUUUUGCCUGUUUUAAGGGCCCAG
rnacentral:lncRNA from 1 species